rnacentral:rRNA from 1 species
AGAGUAUGAUACUGGCUCAGAACAAACGCUGGCGGCGUGUCUGAAUGAUGCAAGUCGUACGUAAACGGAGUCCUUCGGGGCUCUUAGUAAGUGGCGAACGGGUGAGUAACACGUGUGUAACCUACCUUUGGGCCGGGGACAACAUUUCGAAAGAGAUGCUAAUACCCCAUAGAGUUACCUGACAUAAGUCAUCCAAUAUAAUUGGUUUGGUAAUGAAAGGUGGCCUCUGCUUGCAAGCUAUCGCCCAAAGAUGGGCACGCGGCCUAUUAGCUAGUUGGUGAGGUAAUAGCUCACCGAGGCGACAAUGGGUAGCUGGCCUGAGAGGGCGGCCGGCCAUACUGGGAUUGAGAUACGGCCCAGACUCCUACGGGAGGCAGCAAAUCGGAAUAAUCAGCAAUGGGCGCAAGCCUGACCGUGCGACGCCGCGUGAGCGAUGAAGGCCUUCGGGUUGUAAAGCUCUGUGUUAUGGGAAGAAAAACUGGUAGGUGAAUAACUUAUCGGCCUGACUGUACCAUAAUAGAAAGCCCCGGCUAACUUACGUGCCAGCAGCCGCGGUAAUACGUAGGGGGCAAGCGUUGUUCGGAAUCACUGGGCGUAAAGGGCGUACAGGCGGCUAUAUAAGUCGGGUGUGAAAUUCUCGGGCUUAACCUGCGAUCUGCGUUCGAUACUGUAUAGCUUGAGAUCAGGAGAGGAAAGUGGAAUAUGUGGUGUAGCGGUGAAAUGCGUAGAUAUCACAUAGAACACCGGUGGCGAAGGCGGCUCUCUGGCCUGAUUCUGACGCUGACGCGCGAAAGCUAGGGUAGCGAACGGGAUUAGAUACCCCGGUAGUCCUAGCCGUAAACGAUGGGUACUAAGUGUAGGAGGUAUCGACCCCUUCUGUGCUGUAGCUAACGCAUUAAGUACCCCGCCUGGGGACUACGGCCGCAAGGCUAAAACUCAAAGUAAUUGACGGGGGCCCGCACAAGCGGUGGAGCAUGUCGCUCAAUUCGAAGCAACGCGAAGAACCUUAUCCAGUGGCUUGACAUCCUCUGACAACCGUGGAAACACGGCUUUCCCUUCGGGGACAGAGUGACAGGUGCUGCAUGGCAGUCGUCAGCUCGUGUCGUGAGAUGUUGGGUUAAGUCCCGCAACGAGCGCAACCCCUAUUUCUAGUUGCCAGCGGGUAAUGCCGGGGACUCUAGAGAGACUGCCGGCGAUAAGCCGGAGGAAGGUGGGGAUGACGUCAUGUCCUCCCCCUUAUGCCCUGGGCUGCACACGUGCUACAAUGGCCGGUACAGAGGGUCGUGAAACCGCGAGGUGGAACCAAUCUCUAAAAGCCGGUCUCAGUUGGGAUUGUAGUCUGCAACUCGACUACAUGAACGUGGAAUCGCUAGUAAUCGCGAAUCAGCAGGUCGCGGUGAAUACGUUCCCGGGCCUUGUACACACCGCCCGUCACACCACGAAAGUCGGUGGCAUUCGAAGCCGGUGAGCUAACCUUUGGGGGGCAGCCGUCGAAAAUGAAACCGAUGAUUGGGGUGAAGUCGUAACAAGGUA